AGCGAACGCUGGCGGCAGGCCUAACACAUGCAAGUCGAACGAACUCUUCGGAGUUAGUGGCGGACGGGUGAGUAACACGUGGGAACGUGCCUUUUGGUUCGGAAUAACUCAGGGAAACUUGUGCUAAUACCGAAUGUGCCCUUCGGGGGAAAGAUAUAUCGCCAUUAGAGCGGCCCGCGUCUGAUUAGCUUGUUGGGGAGGUAACGGCUCACCAAGGCGUCGAUCAGUAGCUGGUCUGAGAGGAUGACCAGCCACACUGGGACGGAGACACGGCCCAGACUCCUACGGGAGGCAGCAGUGGGGAAUCUUGCGCAAUGGGCGAAAGCAUGACGCAGCCAUGCCGGGUGAAUGAUGAAGGUCUUAGGAUUGUAAAAUUCUUUCACCGGGGACGAUAAUGACGGUACCCGGAGAAGAAGCCCCGGCUAACUUCGUG
rnacentral:rRNA from 1 species